ACACAGUGUGCUAUUACCACUUCCAGCCCCUCUACGCCAUGUUCCUCUGUGCAGGGACCAUGCUCCCAAGACAUAUCCAGCCGAGGUUUCCGUCACGCCAGCGCCAACACCCCACGGGCCAUACUCCAGGUACCCGGGAUCCUGAAGAAGGACGAGAGCAUUGGAGCGGUCGUGCUGCACGCGGGGGCAAACAAUAUCCGGCUGCGGCAGAUGGAAGUUCUGAAGAGGGACUUCGGCAGCCUGAUCGAGACGGUACCAGCAGAUCACCCACUAUGAAGAUCAGCGUCUCUGGACCUCUUCCCACAUACAGACGUGGAACUGAAAGGUUCAGUAGACUUCUCGCUUUAAAUGACUGGUUAAUAUCUUUGUGUAAAGAACAGAAUCUGCUCUUUGUCAAUAAUUGGAAUCUGUUCUGGGAGCAUCCUAGGUUGUUCCGUGCUGAUGGCCUGCACCCCAGCAGCCUCGGAGUAGAACUACUGUCAGACAACAUCUCCAAGACGCUACACACAAUGUGACUACCUACCGGCAACCACAUAGUCUCACUUGCUGCCUCUGAAUCUAUAGACAUCCUGUGACACUCUGGCAAGUGCCCCCAGGCAAGGGCAAGAGGGAAGGAACGAGCAGUGAAACAACCAUGUCUGAAGGCAUGUAUGAGGGGGGCAGCCAGCACUGUAGGGAGAGCUCUCCCCAAACUUUGUAGCCUGGGCCGUUUGGAUGAUGAGGAGGAGGAGGACGAUAAAGGUUAUGAGGAAUUUGAGCAGAUGCUGGAACAGGUGAUGUGUUCUGCAUAGUUGAUCUACAACAUUUUAUCUUCUAGCCAGCCAGGUCCUGAUGGCGUCAAUCAGUCUUAUACCUAUUCAAACUGCAUGUCUAUGUAAAAUGUAUGGAUAGCAUGAAAUGUAUUUUUGUUUUGAUAUUUUGCAAUUGCAAUUGUACUCCUUUGACAUUGUUGUUCCACUUUAAUGUUGUUGUUGUUGUUUCCAAGCUCAGCUUGUAGAGGGUCCUUGCUCAGACUUCAUGGGUUGCUGUGUCAGCUCAGGCAAUAGGAUGGCAUAGCUUCGCCUGUCACAUAUUUUCAGACAGUCAGUAGGAUGAGCAUUUGUCCGCAUUUAUCAUCUUAUAUCAUCAGUUUGAAUCACCUCACACAUUACUGAGUUCAUCUCCAACACUGAGAUCAUCAACAAAGGAAAAUAAGAGAAAUUGGCCUUACACGAUUUUUCUCAGAGAUGUUUAUAUUCAUCUCACACAAUAAUGGCCUUAUACACUAUGUUAUACCUCAGGACAUAUUGGCACACACAUUCUAUGUGGGGGAUGUAGCAAAUAAGAUGUGCAGUGGGUAAUACAGAUCUAUAAGACAUGUAUAUAGGUUGAUUGAGAGAUGUAUAAGAUAAAGAAUGUGUAAGGCACAUAGUGUAUACUUUUCUGUGAAUGAAGCCAUGGACUAUGUAAGCAGAACAGCCUAGAAGAAAGAAUUAAAGAAAGAUAUAUAUAUAUAUAUAU